rnacentral:tRNA from 1 species
GGGCCCGUAGCUUAGCCAGGUAGAGCACCGGGCUUUUAACCCGGUUGUCGCGGGUUCAACUCCCGCCGGGCCCG